rnacentral:rRNA from 1 species
CCUACGGGAGGCAGCAGUGAGGAAUAUUGGUCAAUGGACGGAAGUCUGAACCAGCCAUGCCGCGUGCAGGAAGACGGCUCUAUGAGUUGUAAACUGCUUUUGUACAAGGGUAAACCUGAAUACGUGUAUUCAGCUGAAAGUACUGUACGAAUAAGGAUCGGCUAACUCAGUGCCAGCAGCCGCGGUAAUACGGAGGAGCCAAGCGUUAUCCGGAUUUAUUGGGUUUAAAGGGUGCGUAGGCGGAUUGAUAAGUUAGAGGUGAAAUGUCCGAGCUUAACUCGGGAACUGCCUCUAAUACUGUUGAUCUAGAGAGUAGAUUCGGUAGGCGGAAUGUAUGGUGUAGCGGUUAAAUGCUUAGAGAUCAUACAGAACACCGAUUGCGAAGGCAGCUUACCAAUCUAUAUCUGACGUUGAGGCACGAAAGCGUGGGGAGCAAACAGGAUUAGAUACCCGGGUAGUC